UACGGAGGGUGCGAGCGUUGUCCGGAAUCAUUGGGCGUAAAGGGCGCGUAGGUGGCCCGGUCAGUCAGUGGUGAAAGCGCGGGGCUCAACCCCGCGUCGGCCAUUGAUACUGCCGCGGCUCGAGCACUGUAGAGGCAGGCGGAAUUCCGGGUGUAGCGGUGGAAUGCGUAGAGAUCCGGAAGAACACCGGUGGCAAAGGCGGCCUGCUGGGCAGUGGCUGACACUGAGGCGCGACAGCGUGGGGAGCAAACAGG
rnacentral:rRNA from 1 species